GAUGAACGCUGGCGGCGUGCCUAAUACAUGCAAGUCGAGCGAACGGACGAGAAGCUUGCUUCUCUGAUGUUAGCGGCGGACGGGUGAGUAACACGUGGAUAACCUACCUAUAAGACUGGGAUAACUUCGGGAAACCGGAGCUAAUACCGGAUAAUAUUUUGAACCGCAUGGUUCAAAAGUGAAAGACGGCCUUGCUGUCACUUAUAGAUGGAUCCGCGCUGCAUUAGCUAGUUGGUAAGGUAACGGCUUACCAAGGCAACGAUGCAUAGCCGACCUGAGAGGGUGAUCGGCCACACUGGAACUGAGACACGGUCCAGACUCCUACGGGACGCAGCAGUAGGGAAUCUUCCGCAAUGGGCGAAAGCCUGACGGAGCAACGCCGCGUGAGUGAUGAAGGUCUUCGGAUCGUAAAACUCUGUUAUUAGGGAAGAACAUAUGUGUAAGUAACUGUGCACAUCUUGACGGUACCUAAUCAGAAAGCCACGGCUAACUACGUG
rnacentral:rRNA from 1 species